rnacentral:misc_RNA from 1 species
AUUUAAUUCUUUUAUUACAAUAGCCAAACCCAAUUAUUGGCCUAGUAAUUAAAUUGAUUUAGCUGCUAAAGCCAAGAAACGUCAGUUUUCCACGUUUCAUUUGAGUGAUAGAAAGCAAGCUUUAACGAUUAUUUCAUGAAGAUUCAGGGAUACAACAACGCAGAACUUGGUAAAAAUCGUCUUCUCAUUCUUGGGCAUGAGAUAGGCUACAAACAACGCCCCAUCCAAGCAUCGGAUCACUAUUA